rnacentral:pre_miRNA from 1 species
UGAUGAUGAUGAUGACGAUGAUUACGAUGACGACGAUGACGACGAUGAUGAAAAUGACAAUAAUAAUGAACAUGAUCAGGGCAGACAGCGUCGUCGUCGUCGUCGUCGUCGUCAUCGUCAAAAUAG